rnacentral:tRNA from 1 species
CAAGACGUAGCUUUAACACAAAGCACCCAGCUUACACCUGGAAGAUGUCUGAUAAAACCAGAUCGUCUUGA